GACGAACGCUGGCGGCGUGCUUAACACAUGCAAGUCGAACGGAAAGGCCCUGCUUUUGUGGGGUGCUCGAGUGGCGAACGGGUGAGUAACACGUGAGUAACCUGCCCUUGACUUUGGGAUAACUUCAGGAAACUGGGACUAAUACCGGAUAGGAGCUCCUGCUGCAUGGUGGGGGUUGGAAAGUUUCGGCGGUUGGGGAUGGACUCGCGGCUUAUCAGCUUGUUGGUGGGGUAGUGGCUUACCAAGGCUUUGACGGGUAGCCGGCCUGAGAGGGUGACCGGCAACAUUGGGACUGAGAUACGGCCCAGACUCCUACGGGAGGCAGCAGUGGGGAAUAUUGCACAAUGGGCGGAAGCCUGAUGCAGCAACGCCGCGUGCGGGAUGACGGCCUUCGGGUUGUAAACCGCUUUCGCCUGUGACGAAGCGUGAGUGACGGUAAUGGGUAAAGAAGCACCGGCUAACUACGUG
rnacentral:rRNA from 1 species